rnacentral:lncRNA from 1 species
GAAUCAUUUGCCUUGACUCUGAGUCACCGCGGAGUGAUGACGCGUCAGUUUGGCUCCGCCUUUUGUGCGUAAAAGUCUCGAGCCUUCGGUCACAUCAGACAGAACACGGAGUCAUGGAUCAGCAGCACAGUAACGGUGAUGUCCGGACGCCUGCGGCGGACAGUCUGGAGUUCAAACUCCUGAUGGCAUACACCCGCAAGAGACGACCCACCGACACCCGUCUGCCACAGAAUGUCCCGUCUUCACCACAGCUGCCUGAAGAACAUGGCAAACCAAAGAAAAAUAAAAGAAAGAAGAGACUGUCGUCUCUCUUAAAGUGUAUUAAACCACAGACAGAUGAUGUACGAGAGCCGGCAACAAUUUUCAGCGAUGGGAAAGUGAAGAAGAUAGAGAACAUGGUCAGUGAGCUGACAGAGCUAUCAGACUCUGUGCACUUCACUCCCUGUGAAAUAGAACCAGACGGGGCAGAAGACGAGGAGUCUGAUGUUGCGAGAAAGCUAGCCGAGCUCCUUAGAGAACAAGGUGAUGAACUGAAUGAAAAGAUUAAAGCAGACAUGGUCUUGCUUGAAGCACUGCAGUCCUCGCUCACAUACGGCUUCUUCAUGAAAGUGAUGGAAGCUUUCUGUGGAAGUGUCUCACCAGACGUGCCUCCAGAGCAGAAAGACAAGAAAGUCAAUGUGGCUCUGGUCUGUGAAGCCACCAGUCAGCUUGUUGGCAUCCAUUAUCAUCCAGUGACCUACGUGAUGGGCUUAGGUGCCCGGUAUCUACAGGAAAAAUACUCCACGUGGAUAAGCAGAAACAUGGAUGUAGGCAAUGGAGAAGUUGGUGAUGAAUCCAAAGAGGAAGUCCAGUGAGCAGAUGAGAUGCUCUCCUCGCAUUACAACAUCUUUCUCAGGGGCACAGGCACUUUAUUAACCUGAAAAAGUGGUUUUGUUCGGUGAACCCGCAAGGAUAUCUUGUUUUUGUUCCCCAUUACAUCCUCAUAGCAUCCAAGAGAAAAAAAAGAGGUAGUUCAUAGUGCCAAAUCUAAGCAUAUGGUCACCAUACCUCACAAAAAAAUGCUACGGCUACUGCCCCAAAACAUGUGCUUUGAAAACCAGCAUUAUACAUGUUUACAUGUUUAACGCCACUUUUUGUAAUUUAAUGUAGCAUCCAAAUUGUUAUUAGUUGUUAUUUGCCCUUUUGUUAAAACUGUACUUUUGUUUUGAAAUGAACAUAUUUAUUUUCUUAUCCUUGAACUUUAAAGUGAUUAAGAGAAUAUAAAAUGUCUUAAUAAUGAAAUUUGUAUAUUUUUUUUCAAUGUUACAAUAUUAANNNNNNNNNNGGGAGUUCUCCCAUCAUUCCUCACGACUGUCCUGCUCCCGGAUGAGC